CGGCAACAGCUCAAAUUUAAAAUCUGGCCUCUUCGGGGCCCGAGUUGUAAUUUGUAGAGGAUGUUUUGGGUACCGCACCGGUUUAAAUUUCUUGGAACAGAAUGUCAGAGAGGGUGAGAAUCCCGU
rnacentral:rRNA from 1 species